rnacentral:misc_RNA from 1 species
CCUUGACUCUUUCAAUGUCGAAUUGACUACGAAUAUUUUACUGUUCUUUCUAAUAUCGUUCUACAACAUCUAAGUAAUAUAUUUGUCAAUGACUUUCAUGUUCGAUUAGGCAGUGUAAAAGUUUAUAAAAAUACUGCAAGUAAUGUCAUUGAAUCUAUGUCUUUGUUUAAAAGUAGCCUAUGUUACAACAGCACUUGCAUAUCAAGAAAUGUGCUGUUUAACUGAAAUAUUUGCCACUAGAUGGCAGAACAUGUCCGAUUUCACUGCGCAACGGGUUGAGCAAUCAGAUACGGCUCAUUAAACGCAUAAAUGGUUCAGUGUUCACUACGGUGUUAAUCUAUUCAAGUUUUUCAACAAGGUGGGACGGUUUCGAGAUAACAAGAUGAUAAGUGAACUUGAUAACAGUUCUUGCCCAUUACCAAGGAAUCUCGUUAAGCUCUAAAUAACGAUAUAGAACCGUAUUUCCCGGAUGGAUCCAAAGGUAGAAAUUUCGUAUUAACCGCUAGAGAUACGAAGUCACCAUUCGUCACGCGCGCAGAGCAUGCCGCGCAAGCGGGUUCGUUUUUUAAAAUAAAAACUUGCAGUGCGAUAUCGUGGAGGAAGAAUUUGUAUUUCGAAUGCAGGACCGUGUGCAACGAGGCGGAAGUGGUCCGUUGUCGGCACUGCAACGCCAAAAUUCGAUUAAAGUUCUCGCGCAUGGUCCGAAGGAAAUCCUGUUUUCUCAAAUUUCCCGGAGUCUGUCAGGUGGCACCACGGCGUUCACCGGUCCGGGGUACAUCGCAUCGUACAAUACGAGAGCAGUGCGAUCGCUUUUCUAGAUCAAACGUAAGUGCGCGCGUGUGGUUCGUGUGUGUAUACAUACAUGUGCCAUCCUCUGCGUCGACGUUGAACGGAGGAGAAGAGGACUCGGGCCAACAGAAGCCGGAACCGAAAAAUGGAUGCGACGCCACUGCGACUCAUUUCCGUACUGCUUUUGUUCGCCUACACCACGUCACACUUCAAUCAUGCAAAAAACGGACCCAAUUACUACGGCACGCCAAUUGGCACGUUUAAAGUGUACGGUCACGGGAUUAAGGGCGACGUGUACCUCGUGGACAGCUCGCAAAUUUUUAUAAAGGACUUCUGCUACGAUGGAACUGGACCGGACGCGUACUUCUGGGUUGGAAACACCGCUGCACCCAGUCCGCAGGGUUACAUCGUGCCGUAUCCAGAAGUGGAUGAGAACAUCGAUCCACCUGUGCUGAAAUCGUACAACUAUACGGACAUACUUCUGAAGCUACCUGACGGGAAGCAGAUACGGGACAUCAAAUGGCUGAGUGUUUGGUGCCGUCGAUUUACCGUCAACUUUGCCGACGUGUACAUCAAGCCGGAUCUCGCGGUGCCCAAGACAAAAGUGUUGCCGGAAUUUUCGAGGUUGGCUCACGGCCUUCGAAGCGAGAACAUCACCAUCCUAGAUAGCAAAACUUUCUACAUCCCUAAUUUGCAUUACGACGGUGCUGGUCCAGACGCUUACUUCUGGGUAGGAAACGGCACAGAACCCAACACGUUCGGCAUCAAGGUGCCCAACGAGAGGAAAAGUUUGGCUCCGUUGAAAGGGUACCAAGGAGAGGACAUCGAAAUUGUUUUACCCGGAAACUUGACCGUGUACGACAUCGACUGGUUAGCCGUAUGGUGCGUGCAGUACAAGCACAAUUUUGGACAUGUCCUCAUUCCAAAGGACAUCUACGUCCCGCCAGCCCUUGGACAAACUAAAAUCACGCCAUCUUGGUGGUACGAUCCUACGAGCAGUACUCCAGAACCGUCCCUGUCCAACUGCAAAGAGAUGUUGGACGGUCGAGUUCAGGUGCAAUGGGAAAUGAUAGGGGACGACAUCCAGAUAAAAGUGUCAGGACGCAUCAGAGAGGAUCAGUAUGUCGCCUUCGGUUUGUCGGGUCACGAUGGAAAGGCUCAAAUGAUCGGUGGCGAUGUGGUCGUCGUUGCUUACAACAACAGAACUGGGGAAUUCAUCGCGGAGGACUAUUACAUAUCAGAAUAUGCGCAGUGCGAUGGCAGGAAAGGUGUGUGUCCGGACGAGAGGGUUGGAGGGAAGAACGAUGCCGCUCUUGUGCAUGGAGAACGGAAAAACGGCGUGACUACAGUGACGUACAUGAGACCAAUGAGAACGAACGAGCCCGUGAAGGACAGGAUGAUACCGUACACGGAAACCAGCGUAAUCGCGGCAAUAGGUCCUCUGAAUGUUAGAGGAGAAGCUAAUGCUCACGAGAGCUUCGACAAGACGACCGAGGACAUUCGUAUUGAUUUUACGUCGAGAAACGUCCACGAGUGUACAAAUUCCCUCGACAACCUUCCGGAUAAGUCUGAAGUCAAACCCUGGCCACAGAUAGUAAUUACCAAUGAGACUACGUUCAGCGCGAGGAUCGGACCGGCUGCUGGCAGAAGAGGAUACUCGAGCAUCACAGGGCAACCUAGCUGGGGCAUUGCGUGGUACAUCAAUGACAUGCUGAUCCCAGAAAUCACUGUGGAGAGAGGACAAACCUACACGUUCAUAGUGGAGGGUGGAAAUGAUCCUGAAAUUCCAGCUAGGUACCAUCCGUUCUAUAUCACCGACAGCCCAGUAGGUGGAUUCGGCCAAAAGACUGAGGAAGAGCAAAAAGAACAGAAAGUAUUCGCCGGAGUGAAAUACGACGCCGAUGGACGCCCUUAUCCAACCGCGGCUGGUCGUUACUGCGAAUGGGUUCACAAGACAGUGGAUAUGAGUGCGGACAUGAAAACCUUUGAGAAUUUCUUCGAAACCCUUAGACUGCAAUGUGACGAAGGUAAACCGGCCAAACUCAAUUGGACCGUGACGGAAGACACCCCAGAUUUGGUAUAUUACCAGUGUUACCAGCACAAUCACUUGGGCUGGAAGAUACACGUUAUCAGCAACGCACACGUAACCGUGCCAUUGAUAUCGAUGGUUCUAACGACGCUCUUUGUCGGUAUCUUAAACUUCAUAAGAUGAAUGCGUUAAUCUUUAAUCGCAAACUACGCGGGACAGAAGACUACAGGAAAAGAGAAAACACGAGGAGAAAGAAACUACAUAGGAAAAUAACGACGGUGAUAAAAAAAAAGAAGAAAAUAAAACAAAAGGCGAUUGUUUAAAAUCGGCUGAACACGAUACAAGGUUGUAAGAAAGUACUUAGCUCGUAAGGUUUAAUUGUAACGUAAAAAGAUUAGCAAAAUAUUUUUAAGAUCUAUCAGAUUCAAUAUUUCAUAUUAUACGAUAUAUAUGUAUAUGUAUAUUUAUACAUAUACACACACACGUAUAUAUAUAUAUACAUUAUAAAUAUAUAUAUACAUGAAUACACACAUAUUAACACGGCACACGAGGAGUACGAGAUUCGAGGUGAUUUUUAAACUGUUUAAGAAUUUAAGAAACUACGUACUUUAGGGAAAGGAGAGGGAAAUAAUUCUCUGACAAUAAUAAUAAAUCGAGACGUGGUGGAGUAAACGUGGAAAUUUCUGACAAUAAUGAAGACAAAAAUAAAAAGAAACGAAUGUCGUUCAUGCGGGAGGAUUUGCUGAUUGUUAGAGCUGAUUCGAAAGAGUGUUGCGUUGAUGAAUGACGAAGCGAAAGAACGAGAAGAGAGAAAGAGAGAGAGAGAACGAGAGAGAGCGUAUCCGUGGUACAUGUACAAUGUAAAUUUUGCACAAAGCUAUAUAGUUGAAUAUACGAUGUAACUUUAAAAAUCGAGUAGCACGUAAGGUAUUACAUUUAUAAAUGCUGUCGACUUGACAAUAAUACGUAGGUUAGCGAACGAUGAAGGAAUCGCUGAAGAAAAAAAUAAUUGAGAAACCAGAAUUAUGUACAAGGUAAACGUCAGACAUAUAUAAUUAUGUAAUUUAAAGGAGAUACAAGUUACAAACUAUCCCCUAUAUACGUGUAACAAUGCUAUAAUAUGUACAUACUAUAGAGUGGACCUUCCUAAGAAAACGGAAUGAAAGUAUAAAAUGUGCCUUGGGUACAGAUAAUGAACUUCUUUAAUUACACGAAUUAGGAACCACUCGGACAGGAGAUACCCUGCGGUACUUAGGAACUGGUUUCUUGCUCGUACGUCGCUAAAUUUCGCUUCAUGGAAAAUUGCAGGGUCGAGAAAUUAAUUGCAUUCGCGAAUCACGUUCUUCUAAGUUUUCCAACUUCGCGAGUAAUUAAUAUUGAUUUCCAAAGUGUCUCUCAAUGCAACUGAUCUAUCGACUCUGCCGGAAUGAAUCCUGCAUCCAAAAUCAAAAAUAAAGGACGUACGCAAGGAACGAAAGAGAGUCAACAACCAAGAAAUCAGAGAAAUACAUAAUCAUUCUAGAAACGUAGGCGUGAAAGUAGCGGAAUCUCUUUCUCUCGAUACAAAUUCGAUGCUCUCCACAGUGUCCAGAUUCUAAGUAACGGAGUGUCCUCAAAAUUGCCAGCUGCGAAACAUUCUUUACAAUUCCAAUUACUUAUCACACGAAGACCAGUCUGUAUUUAAACUACAUACGCAAACAUACCUAACAUAAACAUGUAUACAUAUAUAUAUAAACGCAUAUAAUUAAAACGCGCAUAAAGUAUAUGCAUACGUAUAAAUGAAGUUCGAGGAUUUACGUCGUUUAGCUGUCAGCGUUGCACAGUGAUUAUUCGACGUUUGUUAUCGGAGUAAUCACUAGAUAAGCAAUCGAAGUAAUUGCGUUUAUUUUUUGUUUAAUUCAUUCGCGAUGACAAACGACGAAUGUCAUCGAAUGUCGCUGCUUUAGCUUUCACGUGAAAUGCAUCAAACAUGUUAACCCUUAAAUGGCUGGAACGCCAUUAAAAAUUUUCAUAUUUAUUUUUUUAAAAUUACUUUCAAUUUAUUAUUUAUUGAGUCAUAUUAAAUUGUCGGUCUGACGACAGUGUUCUGUCUAAAAUUUGUUUAGUACAAAAUUAAAAAGUUCUGCGAGAAAUAAGAAUGAUUGCCAGCCGUUUGGGGGUUGAAGCACAAGUGCGAACUUAAUUAAACGACAAUAAGAAGUCUGGAUCCCAAGUUUUCCGGCAACACUCUGAACGAUGAUCCUCAGAAAAAGGAUUCUUACACGACUUUCUUCGCUUGCAGUUGUAUCGUCCUCGCCAUUUCCGUUCCCCUUUUGUUGUCCUGUUUCCUAAGCGAGUCCUUCGAGCGAGCAACGCGGAUUCUAGUACGUAAGCGGACGUAAAACAUCCGUUUCUGUGAACGACAAUAAUAAAAAUACGGACUUGCCGGAUCGGAAGUUAAGCGGGCUGCUUCGUGAACUCGAUGAAACGCAAAUUUUCACGCGGGUCGAAGUCCCGCUUCGAACUUAAGACAAUAUCCAGUCGAUCGUCUUGCUCGCCAAAGUCACUCGGACAAUAAAUAAUGAUAAUAAAAAGAUCCUAUAUUUUGUCUGGGGAGAACGUAUCUAUGGAUACGAUCGCUCCCGAUUUUUAUGAAAUUCGGACAAUAAUUGUGCUUAGAGUUUCUGAAGUACAAAACACCGAUGAUCGACUACUGAUGAUCGUAUAGGUCAGACAAUAAUAACGAAAGCUCUGUCGCGGGACAACAAUCUUCGAUGUAGGGAAAUUAACUUAACGAAUACGGUGGCGAUUGGAUGGUGGUCGCAAGUUUGGUACAGGGUCUAAUACAGGUUUGAAGAAAUUUUGAAAGACCUAAAAUCUUAGACUCGCUGUUCCAAAAUUUCAAGAUUCCAAGAAAUUCUAUAAACUAAAAUAACUAAGAUGAUAAUAUAAAAAUUUGCGACCAUUAACCAAGUAUCACUGUAUCUGUACGGAUCAAUUAUUCGAAGUGUAAGAUGUACAAAGUUGAAUAAGGACAGCGUACAUCGCGCUGAACCGUUGUUAACUAUAACGAUUGUACAGAACGAACGAAAGUCUUAGAUAGCGAUGUAAAAUCUGAACUUUCUCCUCUCCUUUUUCUCUUCAGUAUAAUCUACUAUAUACGUGUACAUUUUCUACGUACCAGUUUCUAUCUUCUCUAAUUCUGUCUCUCGUUUAACCUUAUUAGGACAUUAGUGAUAAGCUGUUUCGUAUGUUCGCGGAGCAGCCCCCCGUCAAUAUCCCACAAGUUGUUAGCGAUUAAGAAGCGAAUACUAGCUUAGAAGCUAAGAGAACACUUUCUUUUGUUCGUUGUAUCGACGUGUAAUUUAAAGGAGAAGAGAAGAAUGCGAAUGGUUAAGAUCGAUCGUCGAUCGAGACGCGUGUGUCGAAUGCGAAACGUGAUUUUCCGAAUCGUUAGCGAUAUUCAAGUCGUUUUGUGUCUCUCUUGUAGUUAAGAUUCAAGAUAGCCUUUUCACUCGUGUCACUUUUCUUCCGACCACCGCGACGGUCUCGUGGAAGUCGACGAACUCGAGGAUCUUAACACUUUGAUCGUAUGUUUCAUAAAAUUUAUUUCCACCUAAGAGGCAGACCUGUUACUUGAUAGAAAUUUAAACAUCUGUUCUUGAAUGUUAUCUGAUUACCAUUCCUUAGAGAAGCCAACUUUCCUAAUUUUAAAUUCUCCAAUAAAUGGAACAGAGUCAAAGUGUUAAGAGAAGAAAACCCAAUCCGAUAGAAUAAGAUUCUAUCUUGUUAUCGUUGAAUUCGGUCCAGCUGUCUAAAAGUCUCUCCUUGUAUAGCGUCGGUAGACGAAUUUUAUCAUUCUUCUCUCCUCUUCCUUUCGCGAGGUCACAUAUCCAAACGUAUCCCGUGUAACAUAAGGUUUCUAUUUCGUUUUCAAACAGCGGACUCGUUAAAUUUAAAUGUAAAUCUAUUAGGUAGAAAGUUGGGCGUCCUCGAGAUCGGCGCCCGUGCGUCCGAUUUAUCCCAAACCGAGGAGUAUUUCAGAAAGUCGAUUAAGAAAGUAUCAAAAUGAAAGUGAAGAGAUGUGUGCGGUGAUCAACUUAGAGAUAAGCGAAGAACAACAUUCGAAAUAGCGAUUUUAAUGGUGUCGAUUAAACCAAACGGAUGUAUAACACACUGUCAAUAUGUAUGUAACCGAGAAGGUUGUCCUCUUGUUUCGAUUAUCGUAGAGGAAGGCUUUUUAACUGGAUAUCUUUUUCAAUCUUAUCCUCGUGGUAGAAUAUAUUUUCACACAGUUUAAGAACAGGACGUAGAAUGCCGGAGAACGGUUAAUCGGUGCUUUCGUCAGCUCUUUGCACUCUUCGAGCACGCUGGUUUUCUUGUAUGUUGUUCGAAUAAUACGUAAGUGGCGAGUGAUAAUUCACGAUUGCGAUAUGGAGAACGUACAAAAAAUAUAGAGUCGUGUAACUGGUGGUACAAACCUGAUAUUAAGAUAUUUUCUUUGUGGCAUAUCGUGUUAUUUAACAAAAUCCUAGUUACAUCGAUAUUUGAAAAAUAUCUAAAACAAUUUUUCAAUAUUUUCAUUUAAAAAUCAAUCACGUUUUGUAUCACCGUUUAAACGACUCUCGAUACAUAUAUACAUAUUAUAUAUAAAUAUACAUAUAUGACAAGAAUUGAUUCGUUACGAUAGACCGUCCUGAGUUGUGUUUAAAAAUUUUCAAAGAUAUAUAUUUUUGAACGACGAGUAUCGUUGAACGAAUGUUACAAUAUUUUAUCGUCAAAGACGGAGGUCUUGAUUGUUCUUGAAUGGUGUCUCAAGAAUUCGAAUUCGAUUGAAAGUAAUAGAAUAGCUCAAUAAGUGAACGUUGAAAGAGUGCAAAGAGUUGAAAGAGAUGGAGUCCCACGAAGAAUCAUUUCCAACUAUCCGUAGAUAAAUCGUUCUCGAACAUGCUGACACGAAAUCCAUUUAGCGAUUAGUACGUCCCGUAGAGAGAUAAACUUAGUUCGUGAAUUAACGAAGAAACGAAAACAAAAAGAUAAAAAAAAAAGGGAAGAAACAAGAUGAAAUUUAUCGACUACUUUAUCCGUACGGAAGAAGGGAGGAACAGUUGAAUCGAAAGGUUUUGGCGAACUUAUCAAGCUCUCGCGUUAAAAUGAAACAGCAAAACAUAAAACGAAUAAAAAAAAUAAUGAUGUAACGUAGCAUUAUCGAGAAUGGUAAACAAUUGUCAACCGUUUUUUUCAACGUUUUACGUGUUAGACUAUAUAGAUUAAUCAACAAGCGUUAAUCUGUCUUGCGAAGAAAAGAGGAAAACGGAAAGCAUAUAUAUAUAAUAUAAUAUAUACACGCAUUAUCAAAACACAAAGAGAAGAAGAACGCUAUUCGCGUAUUCCGACUGAAUAAAGCUCGAAAGCCACAGUACGAAAUAUAAUACUAUAAUGAGAGAGAAAAGAAAAUAUAAAAAGACUGCUCUCGCCGGCAAAAGCAUCAUUGUCCAAUGGAAAUAGAUUUAGAAACACCAAACAUGCACUACGCGUCGCGAAACAUUUUGGUUUCUUUUAUUUUUUUAUUUCUUUCUUUAGUUCGUUCGAUGCGUACAUUUUUCUUUCCAAUGAAAUACGAGUAAGGAAUUUUGUACGUAUUUCUCCAUUGUAUGCAGAUCCACGUCCGACGGUUACGAACGAAGCGAGAGAU